rnacentral:rRNA from 1 species
AGACAAUAGAUACCCUGGUAGUCCUGGCAGUAAACGGUGCGCGUUUGGUGUGGGAGGAUUCGACCCCUUCUGUGCCGGAGCUAAACGCGUUAAACGCGCCGCCUGGGGAGUACGGUCGCGAGAUUAAAACUCAAAGAAAUUGACGGGGGCCCGCACAAGCGGUGGAGUAUGUGGCUUAAUUCGAUGCAACGCGAAGAACCUUACCUAGCCUUGACAUGCAUCUCUAAGUCGGUGAAAGCCGGCGAGUGUAGCAAUACACAAUUUGCACAGGUGCUGCAUGGCUGUCGUCAGCUCGUGUCGUGAGAUGUUGGGUUUAAGUCCCGCAACGAGCGCAACCCCUGUGAACUGUUGCCACCACACUACGGUGUGAGCACUCUGUUCAGACUGCCCUGUGAAACGGGGAGGAAGGUGGGGAUGACGUCAAGUCAGCAUGGCCCUUACGGCUAGGGCUGCACACGUACUACAAUGCUCAGUACAGAAUGAACCGAAACCGCGAGGUGGAGGAAAUCCAUAAAACUGAGCCCAA